UUCUCUUUUAACUCAUUGAGUUUCUUUAUGAUAGCUAUUUUGAAUUCUCAGUCAUUUAGGUUGCAAAUUUAUGUGACAACAGGAUUGAUUUCUGGAGACCUGUAAUUUUCCUUUUGAUCUGAAGUGUUAAUGUAUUUCUUCUUGGUGUCUAAUGAAGUGGACUUUUGCUCAUGCAUGGUGGUAGUAUCUGGUCACAGAUUCCACCUGCCACCAUUGUGGGAGUCAGGAGCUGUUUUCUGAACAUACUGUGUUCACUGGCACUUGUGCCCUUCAACUGGAAGUUGUGCCAAUAGGGCUUAUCUGCAUCUGCCCACUGGCCACCAAUGCCUGGUGGAUCACACACAGAUCCACUGCGCCGGCCAACUGGCUGAGCUGGUGUACUAGGUGGGAGGAAAAGGAGAUUUCUUUCAUGUGUGUGCCCACUCUGUACUCACUAGUAGACUGCCUGAGCUGCUGGGCUUGGUGGGAUUACCCAUGUGGUGGCUGAGGUGCCUCGGUGUGGAGUAUUCUCAUGGGCUGGGAUGCAACUCCAAAAGCAAAAGCAUUCACGCCGAGGCCUGCCUGUUCCCCUGCAUCCUCUUAGAGUCAUGCAUCAAUCACUGCAUGAAGUCCUGCACUCUAGGUCGCUGCCACAGGGGAGAGGAAGGAGAACUGCUGACCUCCUUCCACUGCUUCCCAGGGAUCCAGUACCACCACUUUCAGAUGUAAGGCUGUGUGGACCUCUCAGACUUCCUAUUGUGCUAUAUGGAUAUCCUCUGUUGGUUCAUGAAUGUCCUAUUGGUUGUAUCUUAGAGGGGAGAGACUAAGGGAACAGCUCACUCCACUAUGAUGCUGACAUCACUUGACAUGAUUGUAAUCAUAAGUAAGGAUGUUUGGAAUGGUGAUUUGGGAAGAAAGAACACAUAGAUGAUAACAAAUUAAGUGAGUAGCUGAGGUAAAGUAGGUUAUUGGAGCUCAAGAAAUGGGGAGGUCAAGGAACAGAGAGUCCAGAUUAUGGAAAGGUAGUCUGCUAGAAUAAUGAUAAUAAUUCUAACAUGAUGAUAAAGUUCCAACAUGAUGAUAGAACUUGAAGCAUAAAGGAAGGCUGUGUAUUCAAAUGUCUAAUUUUUAAUAAAUGAGGGAGAGUGAUUAGAAUGUCAGUAGUUGACAGUUACAAGGAUGAAGGAAAAGUGAUACAGGCAAAUGGCAUGAGCCUUUUAAAAAGUACAUAAGACUUUUUACAGAAGCCAGUUGGAAUAAUGAUUUUGAGUAAAGGAGAGUGUCAACAAUGAUAUUUGGAUUUUGAAAGAAUAAACAGUCACCACUUGAAAGUGAUAAACCUUUUUUGAAGAACCAGGUUUCAGUAAUAGCAAAGAUGUGGAAGGAAUGCUUGGAGAAGAGUUUGGAAAUAGAGGCAAGUAUGCUGCGUUUAGAGGGGAAGGGGAAGAGGAUGGGAAUGAUGGUGCGGUGGAGUAUUACGGCAAAUGGCAAGUUGGGAGUGGGCAAGUAGUACUGAGUGGGAAGAGUUACAGGGAGCUGUCACUUUGGAUGUUGACUGUGAUGAAUGCAAAGUUAAGAAUUAUUGCAGAUUUAAUCUCAGUGUUUUUGAGGAGUUUGGAUUCUGGGUUCAAUGAUCAGGGGACAUGGCUCACUCAGCCUGAGUGAGUAGCUAUUGCACUUGCUAUAAGUUUUGAUAGCUGCACCUAUAUGGCUUGGAGUUAGGAAGGGGCACGGGUAGUGACGCCAGCAACUAAUGACAUCAAGGCUAGGGUGAGAGCAUAACCUAUACUGAGUAAUGAACUUUAUACACUCAGCCUUACAUUCCAGGGAUAAAUCCAACUUGGUUGUAUCUUAUCUUUUACAUAUACUGUUGGAGUCAAUUUACUAGUAUUUUAUUUAAAAUUUUUGCACCCAUACGAAUAAGUGACAUUAGCCUGUAGUCUUCCUUUCUCAUUUACUUUCCUUGUCUAGUUUUGGUAUCAAGAUUACCCUAGUUUAAUAAAAUGAAUUCAUGAUUAUUCUCUCUGUUUCUGUUGUCCGGAAAAGCCUAUAUAAAAUGAUCUGUUUCUUGUUAGUUUGAUAGAAUUAACUUGUAAGUACAUCUGGACUUUGUUUUUUUUUUUUUAAUUUUUAUUUUUUAUUGCAUUAAAAUUGGGUAGUAACAUUAUAUAGCUUUCAGAUGUAAGGACCUUGGUUUGUUGAAGGUAAUAUUUUAUAACUACUUUUCUGGUUUCUUUGCUUGUUACAGGAUUCUUCAAACUUUCUAUUUUUCUUAAGUCAAUUCUGAUGUUCUAAGAAGACUUUCAGUUGCAUGGCCUGAGAGCCUUGGGAUUCCGUCACCCACCCACCAUCCUUUAUGGAUCAUUUUUGUGUCAAUGUGAAGUCUGAGAGUCAUGGAGCCCAGUUAGAAAAUGAGUCAGUGGUCCAGGUGAAUGAUGAUGGAUAAAUAAACUUCCAUCACCAUGGAACUCAGGAGACAGAAGGUAUAUAUUUUGUAUGUAGAGGUAGGUGGUUCUUGGCUAGGGGUAAUUUUACUUUCCAGAGGACACUUGGCAAUGUCUGGCAAUAGUUUUAGUUGUCUAACUGGGGUAUAGGUGCUACUGACAUCUAGAGGGUAGAGACGAAGGAUACUGCUAAACGUCUUACAAUGUAUACAACAACUCCCUACAAGAAAGAAUUAUCUCACCCAAAAUGUUAAUGGUGGCAUCUUUGAACAGCUAAGUAUAUGAUCAUAAGUAUAUUCUGCAAUAAAUUCAGUUAUAAAACUCCUAAAAA